CCUACGGGAGGCAGCAGUGGGGAAUAUUGCACAAUGGGCGCAAGCCUGAUGCAGCGACGCCGCGUGAGGGAUGACGGCCUUCGGGUUGUAAACCUCUGUUAGCAUCGAAGAAGCGAAAGUGACGGUAGGUGCAGAGAAAGCGCCGGCUAACUACGUGCCAGCAGCCGCGGUAAUACGUAGGGCGCGAGCGUUGUCCGGAAUUAUUGGGCGUAAAGAGCUUGUAGGCGGUUGGUCGCGUCUGCUGUGAAAGGCCGGGGCUUAACUCCGGUUUUGCAGUGGGUACGGGCUAACUAGAGUGCAGUAGGGGAGACUGGAAUUCCUGGUGUAGCGGUGGAAUGCACAGAUAUCAGGAGGAACACCGAUGGCGAAGGCAGGUCUCUGGGCUGUAACUGACGCUGAGAAGCGAAAGCAUGGGGAGCGAACAGGAUUAGAUACCCUGGUAGUCCAUGCCGUAAACGUUGGGCACUAGGUGUGGGGGACAUUCCACGUUUUCCGCGCCGUAGCUAACGCAUUAAGUGCCCCGCCUGGGGAGUACGGCCGCAAGGCUAAAACUCAAAGGAAUUGACGG
rnacentral:rRNA from 1 species